CGCGUAGAUAACCUGUCUUCAUGUCUGGAAUAAUACGCCGAAAGGGGUACUAAUACCGGAUAUUCUUGCUUUUCAUAAGUUAUGCAAGCAAAGGUGGCCUCUGCAUAUGCUACUGCAUGAAGAGGGGUCUGCGUACCAUUAGCUAGUAGGUGGGGUAAUGGCCUACCUAGGCGACGAUGGUUAGCGGGUCUGAGAGGAUGAUCCGCCACACUGGCACUGGAACACGGGCCAGACUCCUACGGGAGGCAGCAGUGAGGAAUAUUGCGCAAUGGGGGAAACCCUGACGCAGCGACGCCGCGUGAGUGAGGAAGGCCUUCGGGUCGUAAAGCUCUGUCAAGAGGAAAGAAGUGUACAAUGGCUAAUACCUGUUGUAUUUGACGGUACCUCUAAAGGAAGCACCGGCUAACUCCGUGCCAGCCGCCGC
rnacentral:rRNA from 1 species